UACAGAGGGGGCAAGCGUUGUUCGGAUUCAUUGGGCGUAAAGGGUGCGUAGGCGGCGGGGUAAGUCAGGUGUGAAAUCCCGGAGCUCAACUCCGGAACUGCACUUGAUACUGCCUUGCUAGAGUACUGGAGAGGAGACUGGAAUUUACGGUGUAGCAGUGAAAUGCGUAGAGAUCGUAAGGAAGACCAGUGGCGAAGGCGAGUCUCUGGACAGUUACUGACGCUGAGGCACGAAGGCCAGGGGAGCAAACGGG
rnacentral:rRNA from 1 species